UACAGAGGUCUCAAGCGUUGUUCGGAUUCAUUGGGCGUAAAGGGUGCGUAGGUGGCGCCGUAAGUCAGGUGUGAAAGUCCAGGGCUCAACCCUGGAAUGCCGGUGGAUACUGUCGGGCUCGAGUCCGGAAGAGGCGAGUGGAAUUCCUGGUGUAGCGGUGAAAUGCGCAGAUAUCAGGAGGAACACCAACGGCGAAGGCAGCUCGCUGGGACGGAACUGACGCUAAGGCGCGAAGGCGUGGGGAGCGAACAGG
rnacentral:rRNA from 1 species